rnacentral:rRNA from 1 species
GGCGGACGGGUGAGUAAUGCUUGGAAAUCUGGCUUAUGGAGGGGGAUAACUACUGAAAACGGUAGCUAAUACCGCGUAAUAUCGAGAGAUUAAAGACUGGGACCUACGGGCCAGUUGCCAUAAGAUGAGCCCAAGUGGGAUUAGGUAGUUGGUGGGGUAAAGGCCUACCAAGCCCGCGAUCUCUAGCUGGUCUGAGAGGAUGACCAGCCACACUGGAACUGAGACACGGUCCAGACUCCUACGGGAGGCAGCAGUGGGGAAUAUUGCACAAUGGGGGGAACCCUGAUGCAGCCAUGCCGCGUGAAUGAAGAAGGCCUUCGGGUUGUAAAGUUCUUUCGGUGGUGAGGAAGGUAUCAACUUUAAUAGAGUUGGUAAUUGACGUUAUCCACAGAAGAAGCACCGGCUAACUCCGUGCCAGCAGCCGCGGUAAUACGGAGGGUGCGAGCGUUAAUCGGAAUGACUGGGCGUAAAGGGCACGCACGCGGAUUGUUAAGUGAGAUGUGAAAGCCCCGGGCUUAACCUGGGAAUUGCAUUUCAGACUGGCAAUCUAGAGUAUUUUAGGGAGGGGUAGAAUUCCACGUGUAGCGGUGAAAUGCGUAGAGAUGUGGAGGAAUACCGAAAGCGAAGGCAGCCCCUUGGGAAUAUACUGACGCUCA